AUAAUACUUGUUUGUUAUUCCCUGUAAAGUUUAUUUUCUUAACUCAUUUUCGUGCCUUUAUAUUUUCCAAUUCGGUAGGGCCAUCUGGAAACGAGUAACUGUCCUUCCAAAUCGUUGAUAGCAAUUGACCGUACCCUCAUUAGGUACGUUCUAGGUUUCCUGCUUUUAAUCAUAUGUGACACCUAGGUGUGGGUGAUCGCACUCGCAGGAAAAUAGUACUGCAGGAAUCGUGAAUGAAUGAUAUUCAUUUCGCGAAGUUUUCUUAGGAGAGUGUUGUAAUUCGAUGGAACUGUGAGAGGGAGGCGAAAAUCAUCUAUUUUUGGAGUGUGUUUCAAAAUGAACGACAGGCAGGUCUAACGGUUGAGGGAGUGCAACAAUUUUUAUUGUUACCCACGUUGGGGAUUCUACUUCUGAUAUCAAAAUAGUGAUUGAAGUGCCUCUUUGAUUUUGGUCAUUGAUGUAGUUAUUGUUGAGGACUAUCACGAACCGUUUAAGGGAUUUAUUUGACCGGAGCCGUUCAAUUUCAAUUGCUGCUACUAUAAAAAAAAACUACAAAGGUGGAAAAAUUCCAGUUACACCUAUUGGGACGGAUUUCUCAAAGUGUUCACAUCACUAGAAGGGAAGUUGAGAAUUUUCUCCAUUCUUUUUAAACGAUCCAUUGUGAGUUGGAGGUGUUAUUUGGGACAAAAAAAAAAUAAUAAACCAACGCCCAGGAAUUUUGCUGGUCUACUUUUUUUUCCUCUUUGGAAGAAACAAAAAAAACCCUUCUGAGAAGGGUUUUUUUUUUGGUUGGCUUGGGAUUUGAUCUACACGAUUUGAUAUAACCUUGAGCCAUACCUACCGGAAACGGAGUCAGCGUCUUAUGCCCCAGCACGCAAGUACCUAGAUAAGAGGGUUAAGAAUUUUUUUUGUGAUCUAGUGAUAUACUUAUUAAGAUCCAUUUAUCAACUAUACCACUAAUUAUUUCAUGGAAAGCGGAAA
rnacentral:lncRNA from 1 species